UCUGAGCACUAUCAGUGAUGACAUCUUGGA
rnacentral:piRNA from 1 species